UGAAACAUUGACAAAGCCUCGAAACUUGAUAUUUGCAAAAUAUUUUAACCAACAAGUUUAGAGUUGCCUGCAACGGACGGACUACAUUGCCUACAAUAAAAACACAGCACAGUGUUCCCCUUGUACCGUAACCACGGGUACUGUGUUAGCCAUUGUGGCUGAAAGUGGUACUUCUUUUUCUUCAUCUGUCUGUCAGCCAGUCUAUCCGUGCCUGUUGCACAUUCAUCAUCGGUGGUGUCUGAGUCGGCACCUCUGUUAGACUUUCCCUCACAACCAGCUUCCUCCUUUCUCUCCUCAUUUGUUUUUUUUUUAAAUAAUCAACGAUAGACCGCUUCAUUUUGGGGAACAGCGAAACUUUGGCACCAUGCAGUGUGUGAUGCGCGUGAGCAGGGUCUGAAAUUAACUUUUUUCCAUUAACUGUGGUUUGUUAGUGAGUGUUAACUGGUAACGUUACCGUUAACAUCAAACAGUCUAACGUUAGCUAACUGUAACGUUACUGGUAACUACUAGAAAGUUUAACUCACUGACUUGAGAGUAAUUCCCCGUUGACGCUGCAGCUCCUGAGAUCAGAGUCCGGCGGUAUAUGUUGUAUCUGUGUGUGUGUGUGUGUGUGCGUGUACAUGCGGGACGGAUCGGGCGCAUACACUGUGUAAACAUGCCCGUGCGGGCCCAUUGUGGGAAAGUGUGGGUUAACUGUGGGCAGUGUGGGCAGGGGCAAACCCACACUAAUCCCAUGUGGGCCCCCCUUGGGUUAACCCGUGUGGGCCCGCAGCAGUUUUGCCCUAUGUAUAUACAUAUAUACAUAGAUAUACACACUGUAAAAAUUGACAGCUGCAUCAAGUUAUGUGAACUUAUUUCUUCUCUUUAACUCCACUUGUCAAGACAAGUUUUGGAUACUGAACUCAAGUUUAUAAAUUUUCAAAAAAGUGAAACUGGGAGGAGGGUGGAGUGAGUUGAUGCCAAGGAAAUACAGAGAUGUUGCCGCCAUUUUUGAGUAAGACAGAAAGACGAGUAAGAAAGAAACACAGGACUAUUACUAUAAUACGGCAACAAUUAAUUAAUUAAAUAAUAAAUAAUUGAAAGGUGGUGCUAACCGGUUAUCCACAGAGAAUAAGGCCAAUGAAAGCUAAAAUAGUGACACUGAAAACAACAGUGGACUACUUCCAGCGGCGGAGGGUCGCACCUGACUACGGACUAUAACUUGUGGUACGCGGAGCUACAGAGCGGAGAGAUACGUCAAGUUACAUCUCUGGAAGUUUCCCGCUGAGUAACACAAAGACAAAGAGGAGAUAACUGCAGAGUUCAGUAGAAUAGUCACCACAGAUCUGCUGCAGUCAUUCCUGGAUGGACUAGAUGCCUUGGUGUCAAGUCUAGAACUGUACAAAGCUGCUGUUUCAUCCAGCAGGAGGUUGACCCUUAGCAGUGUCUUAAGAAGCAGAUGCUGUGACAAAAAGCAGCUGGGCCAUGGAGUCAGAGGUGGAAGCAUGCAUUAAGAUUUGGCUUCGAAAUUCGAGAGACUGAGACGGUGGAAGGAGCAGAAGAAACAGAUAAUAGACAGGCAGACAUCAUCAUCACCUCUGGUGUUGUUGGCAUUGUUUGUGCUUAUUGUGGAUCUGUUGUGUUCUGAUGUGGUUCUAUUGUGUUCUAAUAGGGUUAUGUGGUUCUCUUUUGUGUUCUGUUUUAUAUAAAUGCUGAAUAAUAUUUUAUUAUAAAUUAUAUUAUACUAUAUUCAGUUUGUCUAAAUGCCUUUUAUUGUUACCUGGCUAUAAAUAAAUGUAAGUAUUCUAAA